rnacentral:sRNA from 1 species
CAGAAAAUAAGACGUUACAUUUUCGACCACAUUCUUAUAUGUACUUAUGUAGCAUUUUAUCAUUUUUUAAUUGAAGCACUUGCUAUUUAUCUAAAUACACCGUCACUUUUUAUUAUGGGACUUCGUCUCACAGUUCCUUAGCAAAUCACCUGGAGGACAUCCGUUUUUGGGCGAAUAAAUUGGCAAGCAUUCAGUUUGGUUUUAUUAGAAGAAAGAGAAACAAAUUAGCACAUGUCUUAGCGAAAUAUGAUUGUACCUAUUCUUAUUUUUAUUUUGGUUCUGGUUCUUUACCUAUUUGGCUUGAUCGAUACUUUUGUAAUGACUCUAAUUGAUUAAUAUAAUUAUUUUGACGUAAAAAAAAAAUCAAAGGCCGCUUUGUGCACAACUAAGGAAAGCUUGGGCUUUAAGGCUACAUACAUAGUUUAAAGGCCCUAUAGACGACAUAUGCUUUAAAGUUCAAACCAACUAAUUAAUCAAAUGUCUAUUUUCACACACAAAAAAAAAAUAACUAAUCAAUCAAAUGCACAUUAAUUUUUU